rnacentral:rRNA from 1 species
AUUGAACGCUGGCGGCAUGCUUUACACAUGCAAGUCGAACGGUAACAGGGUGCUUGCACCGCUGACGAGUGGCGAACGGGUGAGUAAUGCAUCGGAAUGUACCGUGUAAUGGGGGAUAGCUCGGCGAAAGCCGGAUUAAUACCGCAUACGCCCUGAGGGGGAAAGUGGGGGACCGAAAGGCCUCACGUUAUACGCGCAGCCGAUGUCUGAUUAGCUAGUUGGUGAGGUAAAGGCUCACCAAGGCGUCGAUCAGUAGCGGGUCUGAGAGGAUGAUCCGCCACACUGGGACUGAGACACGGCCCAGACUCCUACGGGAGGCAGCAGUGGGGAAUUUUGGACAAUGGGCGCAAGCCUGAUCCAGCCAUGCCGCGUGUCUGAAGAAGGCCUUCGGGUUGUAAAGGACUUUUGUCCGGGAGCAAAUCCUAGUGGUUAAUAACCGCUGGGUCUGAGAGUACCGGAAGAAUAAGCACCGGCUAACUACGUG